rnacentral:rRNA from 1 species
ACAUCCAAGGAAGGCAGCAGGCGCGCAAAUUACCCACUCCCGGCACGGGGAGGUAGUGACGAAAAAUAACGAUACGGGACUCAUCCGAGGCCCCGUAAUCGGAAUGAGUACACUUUAAAACCUUUAACGAGUAUCCAUUGGAGGGCAAGUCUGGUGCCAGCAGCCGCGGUAAUUCCAGCUCCAAUAGCGUAUAUUAAAGUUGUUGCGGUUAAAAAGCUCGUAGUUGGAUUUGUGUCCCACGCUGUCGGUUCACCGUUCGUCGGUGUUUAACUGGCAUGCCUGUGUGGACGUCCUGCCGGUGGAUGCAGUCGGCCGUGGGCCUCUGGUCUGCGCGUCGGCGGUCCGAUUCAAUCCUACCGCGGUGCUCUUUACCGAGUGUCGAGGUGGGCCGGCACGUUUACUUUGAACAAAUUAGAGUGCUCAAAGCAGGCAGUGGUUCGCCUGAAUAUUGUGUGCAUGGAAUAAUGGAAUAGGACCUCGGUUCUAUUUUGUUGGUUUUCGGAACUUGAGGUAAUGAUUAAUAGGGACAGACGGGGGCAUUCGUAUUGCGACGUUAGAGGUGAAAUUCUUGGAUCGUCGCAAGACGAACCUAAGCGAAAGCAUUUGCCACGAGUGUUUUCAUUAAUCAAGAACGAAAGUUAGAGGUUCGAAGGCGAUCAGAUACCGCCCUAGUUCUAACCAUAAACGAUGCCAGCUAGCGAUCCGCCGAAGUUCCUCCGAUGACUCGGCGGGCAGCUUCCGGGAAACCAAAGCUUUUGGGUUCCGGGGGAAGUAUGGUUGCAAAGCUGAAACUUAAAGGAAUUGACGGAAGGGCACCACCAGGAGUGGAGCCUGCGGCUUAAUUUGACUCAACACGGGAAACCUCACCAGGCCCGGACACCGGAAGGAUUGACAGAUUGAGAGCUCUUUCUUGAUUCGGUGGGUGGUGGUGCAUGGCCGUUCUUAGUUGGUGGAGCGAUUUGUCUGGUU